AUGGGGGGAACCCUGAUCCAGCCAUGCCGCGUGUGUGAAGAAGGCCUUUUGGUUGUAAAGCACUUUAAGCGAGGAGGAGGCAUACCUUAGAUUAAUACUCCUAGGAAUCAUUGGACGUUACUCGCAGAAUAAGCACCGGCUAACUCUGUGCCAGCAGCCGCGGUAAUACAGAGGGUGCAAGCGUUAAUCGGAUUUACUGGGCGUAAAGCGCGCGUAGGUGGCCAAUUAAGUCAAAUGUGAAAUCCCCGAGCUUAACUUGGGAAUUGCAUUCGAUACUGGUUGGCUAGAGUAUGGGAGAGGAUGGUAGAAUUCCAGGUGUAGCGGUGAAAUGCGUAGAGAUCUGGAGGAAUACCGAUGGCGAAGGCAGCCAUCUGGCCUAAUACUGACACUGAGGUGCGAAAGCAUGGGGAGCAAACAGGAUUAGAUACCCUGGUAGUCCAUGCCGUAAACGAUGUCUACUAGCCGUUGGGGCCUUUGAGGCUUUAGUGGCGCAGCUAACGCGAUAAGUAGACCGCCUGGGGAGUACNGUCGCAAGACUAAAACUCA
rnacentral:rRNA from 1 species